rnacentral:rRNA from 1 species
GGAUUUUCCGCAAUGGGCGAAAGCCUGACGGAGCAAUACCGCGUGAGGGAGGAAGGCUCUUGGGUCGUAAACCUCUUUUCUCAGGGAAGAACACAAUGACGGUACCUGAGGAAUAAGCAUCGGCUAACUCCGUGCCAGCAGCCGCGGUAAUACGGAGGAUGCAAGCGUUAUCCGGAAUGAUUGGGCGUAAAGCGUCCGCAGGUGGCAAUGUAAGUCUGCUGUUAAAGAGUCUAGCUCAACUAGAUAAGAGCAGUGGAAACUACAUAGCUAGAGUACGUUCGGGGCAGAGGGAAUUCCUGGUGUAGCGGUGAAAUGCGUAGAGAUCAGGAAGAACACCGGUGGCGAAGGCGCUCUGCUAGGCCGUAACUGACACUGAGGGACGAAAGCUAGGGGAGCGAAUGGGAUUAGAUACCCCAGUAGUCCUAGCCGUAAACGAUGGAUACUAGGCGUGGCUUGUAUCGACCCGAGCCGUGCCGUAGCUAACGCGUUAAGUAUCCCGCCUGGGGAGUACGCCGGCAACGGUGAAACUCAAAGGAAUUGACGGGGGCCCGCACAAGCGGUGGAGUAUGUGGUUUAAUUCGAUGCAACGCGAAGAACCUUACCAAGGCUUGACAUGUCGCGAAUCCUGGUGAAAGCUGGGAGUGCCUUCGGGAGCGCGAACACAGGUGGUGCAUGGCUGUCGUCAGCUCGUGUCGUGAGAUGUUGGGUUAAGUCCCGCAACGAGCGCAACCCUCGUUUUUAGUUGCCAGCAUUAAGUUGGGCACUCUAGAGAGACUGCCGGUGACAAACCGGAGGAAGGUGGGGAUGACGUCAAGUCAGCAUGCCCCUUACGCCUUGGGCUACACACGUACUACAAUGCUCCGGACAGAGGGCAGCAAGCAUGCGAAUGCAAGCAAAUCCCGUAAACCGGAGCUCAGUUCAGAUCGCAGGCUGCAACUCGCCUGCGUGAAGGAGGAAUCGCUAGUAAUUGCAGGUCAGCAUACUGCAGUGAAUUCGUUCCCGGGCCUUGUACACACCGCCCGUCACACCAUGGAAGCUGGUAGUGCUCCGAAGUCAUUACUCC